CCUACGGGUGGCAGCAGUGGGGAAUAUUGCGCAAUGGGCGAAAGCCUGACGCAGCGACGCCGCGUGAGGGAUGAAGGUCUUCGGAUCGUAAAGCUCUGUCAGCAGGGAAGAAGAAAGACGGUACCUGACCAAGAAGCCCCGGCUAACUACGUGCCAGCAGCCGCGGUAAUACGUAGGGGGCAAGCGUUAUCCGGAUUUACUGGGUGUAACGGGAGCGUAGACGGCAGGGCAAGUCUGGAGUGAAAGGCAGGGGCCCAACCCCUGGACUGCUCUGGAAACUGUCCGGCUGGAGUGCAGGAGAGGUAAGUGGAAUGCCUAGUGUAGCGGUGAAAUGCGUAGAUAUUAGGAGGAACACCAGUGGCGAAGGCGGCUUACUGGACUGUAACUGACGUUGAGGCUCGAAAGCGUGGGGAGCAAACAGGAUUAGAUACCCGUGUAGUC
rnacentral:rRNA from 1 species